AGGACGAACGCUGGCGGCGUGCUUAACACAUGCAAGUCACGGGGGUUCAGGGGCAACUCUGGGCAACCGGCGAACGGGUGCGUAACACGUGAGCAACCUACCUCGAUGCGGGGGAUAGCCGGCCCAACGGCCGGGUAAUACCGCAUACGAUUCUCGAGGGGAGUCCCUUGGGAAGGAAACCUCCGGGGCAUUGAGAGGGGCUCGCGGCCUAUCAGCUAGUUGGCGGUGUAACGGACCACCAAGGCGACGACGGGUAGCUGGUCUGAGAGGAUGGCCAGCCACAUUGGGACUGAGAGACGGCCCAGACUCCUACGGGAGGCAGCAGUGGGGAAUCUUGCCCAAUGGACGAAAAGUCUGAGGCAGCAACUCCGCGUGAGGGGAUGAAGGCUCGUCGGUCGGUAAAACCUCUUUUCUCAGGGAAGAUCCAAGACGGUACCUGAGGAAUAAGCGACGGCUAACUACGUGCCAGCAGCCGC
rnacentral:rRNA from 1 species